GCUUAGGCAUAUGGGAAAAUAGAUAGGCGCUUAUCAUGUGACAACAAUUUUAAAACUUUUCACCUAGCUGUCCCCAUUACAUGGAGAUCUGUUGUCUUGAUCCAUACAAUGAAAAAAGCAUAACUACAUUCCAGGAAAUACGUACGUCUGCAUUUUUAAAAAUGCAGACUUCCAUUUCCCUGCUGGUCCUGCUCAGAAACUAGCUCCUUUCUGCUGUACUUCAAGAGCAUUAAACAUUCAGAGCCAUAUAUAUAUCCUUCAAGGCUGUCACUGGUGCGGCUAGCAAGAACUUGAUUUGGUGGUUUUUAAGGAAAGAACUUGAAUGAAAUAUAUAUAUAUUUCAACUUGCUACUUCCCCUGCCUUACUUUUUUCUUAUGCUGCUACAAGGAGCUGGGGGCCUAUAUUAAACACCUACAAGUAUAUUUGUUGUCCUCAAGUAAAAAUCACAGUUGAAGCAUUUCGGUAUAAAGACAAUUUGUUCACAGCCAAGAUGGGUGUUCAAAACGGAGGACAUAUAUCAUAUAAAUAAUACCAAUGUUGUGAGAUGCAAGGCAAUGGCCUACUAAAAACAGACUGGAUCAGGAGGUCAGCUUUUAUUAUAUAUUAAAGGUAAAGGUACCCCUGACUGUUAAGUCCAGUCGUGGACGACUCUGGGGUUGCGGUGCUCAUCUUGCUUUACUGGCCGAAGGAGCCGGUGUACAGCUUCCGGGUCAUGUGGCCAGCAUGACUAAGCCGCUUCUGGCGAACCAGAGCAGCGCAUGGAAAUGCCAUUUACCUUCCCACUGGAGAAGUACCUAUUUAUCUACUUGCACUUUGAUGUGCUUUUGAACUGCUAGGUGGGCAGGAGCAGGGAUCGAGCUGUUAUGGUUCUGGACAUUUCGACACAAGCAAUGGGAGUUCACCCCGUUGCGGGGAUUCGAACCACUGACCUUCUGAAUGGCAAGCCCUAGGUUCAGUAGUUUAGACCACAGUGCCACCCGCGUCCCAUUUAUUAUAUAUUAGCAAAUAGCAGGGCAUAUUCAGAAGUCAGAAAACAAUCAGAAGUGCAGAAAAAAAUAAUAACCCAGUAGUCCACUGCUAUCCAUAUGUCCUGAUUUAUUUACAGGUUCUUAGUCUGAAAGUGUCACUGCCAUCACCAGAAGCACUUUUCCUGAGCAGGCAUUCCUGAGAUCUCAGUUGCUUUCCAUCAUUUGAUGGCUCCACAGGUGCCUCUAGGCAACAACUCUGUUUUCCUCCAUGUCUCUCCCUGCUUGGUAACCUUUCAGCACUGAGCACAGCAGAGCGCCUCAAGCAAUGAGUCUCAAAAUGAUGUCACAGGGAACGAAAACAGCAACUUUUCACCAUCCACGUUACGUGUCAUAAACAGCCUCCAAAGCCCAAGGUUCAAUCUUCCUACUGCCACCCGCAAUCACAUUAAUACAGUACAUUCUCAGUGACAAAGAGGCUUCCUAGUUGCUUCUGUCCAUCUCCUCUUCUUAGCCAAUCAUAAAAAUCACUAGCAGCACCCUUGUCCCCAGGGAGGGAAAACACUUACAAAAGAAAACAAAUAAGCAACUAUGUCUUGAAGAAAAGGCUUGGGAUAAUAUGUGUGUGUUUUCUUUGAAUUUAAUUUGGUACAAUGAUGCUCCAGUCAAAAUAAAGAUUUCAUGUUUGCUAGCUGAACAAAGGGUUAAGAGACGUAAGAGUUCUCUGCAAAUUCCUAGAGGGCACUCGGUGAGGUCACAUCCUCUGUUUGCACAGGGCAGGAAGAGAACAAUAGGGAAAAAACUUACUACUUCCUUCCUGUCCAGAGCUCAUCUCUUUUACAUCUUGCAGCUGUGGAGAAAGGGUGUAGUCUGUGCUCUGUUGAGCACAGGCACCAUAUUCAAAUGUGUGUUUUGUAAUCUAGAAGUCUAUUUUGCCUGACUUACUUGACUGCCAUUUUCUGCUUGAAUCAAGUCUGCAGUGUUAUGUAAGCAAACAACAUUUUUAUGUUUACAUUACAGACUACUGUACUGUGUUGUUAUCAUUUAAGUUUGGAGCUGCAGGUUUCAAAAUGCUGUCUUUAUGAAUGAUUUAUUUUACUUUGCUCAACUGGGUUCUGUAAAAAACCCUCUUCCCCUUCAGCCAAACCCAAGAACUUACCCAGUGGAGGAGGCUACAGUGAGUAUUUCCAGCAUCCCAACAGAGUAACUUUUUUUUUCUACCAGGGACUACUCGCCCCAUAAUUUCUGGCUGGAAACUGAUGCUAGGCUCAUCAUUUUUGCCAGAGAUUCUGGAGCCAAUUGCCCUAGGCCUCUGCAGGAAGAAACACUUAGCAGGGAGCAAUUCCCAUGGACGUAAAGUGGGGCUUACUUCUGAGUAAUGUACAAGCUAAUACACUGCAAUGUUUCAUUGUCCACUGUUUCUUUGCAGAGGAGGAGGAUAGAGAGCCAGAACAGAAGAGGGUACCACACAACUUUUCUCCCAGUGAAGCAGCAACUGCGGCAGCUGAGACCCCUUCUGAAUCAAGGUAAGAGGCUUUAGGCCCCAGGUGCAUCUCCACUGCUUAAGUGUUUGCUGUUCCUUUCUCAAGUGAAGAAGACGGGACCUCCUAGACACUACCUAAGUGACCUAGGUGUCCCACCAGUUCAAUUUUAAUUUUAUUAUGGAUUUAUUUAUUAAAUGUUUAUAUUGUCCUUCAGCCAUAGAUCUCAGGGCAGUUGUCAGGUCUAGGUUCCCGGUGGCGCCAUUGAUUGCAAAGGAUUGUGUUUGCCCAAAUGACCUAUAUGGGCUUUCAAAUGGGUCAAAUGUAUAAUCUUCCCAGAAAACAUGUGAAGGGGUUGUAUUUUUUCCCCUUUUUUCUCCAACCUGCCUCUACUUUAUCAAAGCAGAACCAAUGACAUUUAUGUUUUGAUGCUCAGACCUACAGAAACUCCCUAUAGAAAUUGCUGGCACAGUUGACAUCAUCACAGCCCCAAUGAUUCCUGACAUAUUACAUGAGAUACCUUUCAGUAAACUUGUGCAUGGCGGGGAAUCCAUAAAUCCAAAUUCAAUUAAGUCAUUUUUAUGCUGCACAUAUUCACCAUACAGUACACAUCCAGCUCUUUUAUCUUGUGAAGGGGAAGGUAGAGGCAGGAGAGACAACAGAACCACAACACUUAUAAAAACGACUUGCUUACAGUCACUCAGUAAUUAUUAUUCUAGCAUUGCCCUAAUACAUUGUCUUACAAAUGCCAAGGCAGGGAGAUAAGCGUUUGCCUGUUGAAGGUGAAGAGCUCUGUUCUGUCUUUAGAUAUUUGGAGCUAAAUUGCUACUCUUAAAUCACUGCUGUUUUUUCCCAGUGUGCUGUGUGGGAUUGUACUGGAGACACACUGUUGCUAUGCCCUUCCCAGCCCCCACCUCGCCUACUACAUACAAGUCCUUUCUUUUUUAGGGCAUUUCCCCAUUAUUUCAAUCAUUUAUAUCUUUGAAUGCCUGACAUUUUACAGUGCCCAAACCCCACGUUUCAGUGGGCAUCAGUAAAUCAUCCCCCAACGCUGUGUCUUCCUUAUACACUCUUCCAUACAUAACAUCAAUCAUUUUACCAUUUCAUAGGAAUAAAAAAAGAAAGAAUGUUUUCUUAACUGUGUCUUGCUUUAUUGGCCACAUUACAUAAACAGGAUGAUUUAUGAAGCAGGAAAAGGAAAGAAGGUGGUGUUUGCUCUUAUGCGUUCUUCUCCCAUCUGUGAUUUUUGUCGUGUCUUUAGGCUUCAUGGAAGCAUCCUUGCACUAAGUUAGUAUAGGGGCAUGUGCAAAUGUCUAUACCCCCUCCCUUUAAGCUUUCUGAAUGUUUGUAAAAUGACUGUGCCUGCUUUUUGCUAUGAUACAAUGCAGAUAACCUGACUGUUCUACAAUAUUUGCUGCUUUAGGCCAUUGAUAAGAAUGGGCAUAGUAUGGGUUUCCUAUACAAGUUGUGUCUUUGUCAUGGAAACCAAGUUAACAGACAUUAAGCACACCCUUGCCUCUCCUCUCUACCCCACUCUCUCUUUCUCUCUCACACACACAUUCACAGUUGCUAUGGUGGCACAAGAUGAAUGAUCUUUCCUGCAGUUUCAUUGAUGACAUACAGCCCUGUAAUGAACUGUCAGUUCUUUUGUAGGGUUGACUUUUGGAGAUUCGUAGCUUCUACUGAUCCAAGGCCGGCAAGUGUUUUCCUCUUUUUUUUUUAAUGAACUGUGGCUUCUGAAAAAAACAACACACCAACCAGCGUUUGUGGGCAGAUAGAGAACCAAGCUAAAACACAUUAUUUUUAACUAAGCUAGAGACCUAGUAGGCUAGACAGUGAAAACAAAGGUGGACAGGAGCAGAAAUAAGUUGGGUAACAACUUAUUUUAGUAUUUUUAUUUGGGUGCCUGAUAUCUGUGUUUGUUGUUCAGCAUUCGGACAAACAAAGAAAAGAAUGCUGCUUUCACACUGUCCCUUCCUUCCUGUCUCUUUACUGCAACUACUGUCCUCUAAACUAAUUUCUUCUGCUGUGGUGUGCCUCUGCUUGCCAUUGGCUUAAAUUUGGUAGCUGGCCAUUUUGGAACCUACUCUUUGCAUGCACCAGACACAGAAGAAUUCUCAAAAUGGUGGCUGACAGGCACCAAUGGUGCACAGCAGUAGAAAAAAAAAGAUACAAGAAACAGUAUGGCAUUGUUGGCCUGGGCAAUUGUGAAACCAUGGGUUGGAAUCCACUACUACAGCAACAGCAUGGGAAGCUCAAAUCUGAAAUUAUGAAGCCUUCUGCAUGAAGCUAAAGCUUCAAGGAAAAGACUAUUGGAAGAAUUCCAUCUUGUUUAUCCAUGCGCUGUACAGUAGUAAAAAACUAGCUAUCAUGAAGACAUGCCCCCGAAAAUAAAAUCUGGGCUUCCUCUGCCUUGAAAUCCUACAUUCUUAGAGUAGAAAAGCAGGCAGUAUAUUAACACUUUCCUUGCUUAUUUUGUGUAUAAUUAAAUAUUCAAAGUUAUGGACAAGUAAUCUUGCAGAAUUAGACUUCCCUAGCUGCCUGUGGCCCCUGUAGGGCUGAGAGUAUUUCAUAAUGAAGAGGCGUACUGGGGAGUAAUGAAUAGAGGUAUUGUGUAGAAUGGGGGGAACCUGGCAAACAACUGUAUGCCUACGCUAUAAGGUUACAAAGAGACAGUGGAGAAUGGGACUUGGCUCACGCUCAGGUAGAGCUUUCCUUUUCCUUAAAGUUCUUUGUUGAUAACUUCUGCAUUCACAUGCAUUUGAGAAAAGCGUCAUAUCAAGGACUCUGCAUCUUUGCAAGGAAAACAAUAUACCAGGAAGCAUUUCAAAACACAGGCAGCAUCUUCUGCAGAAGCUUGUUUAGAAAAUAGGUUUGGCUAAACAAAAGCCUUGGAAAUAACAUAAUCAGCACUGCCCCUGUUUGGGUGCAUGGGCCGAGGGAGGAACAAUUUGUCAAAGAUACACGCUUGUAAUGUUCAAAGAAACAAUUUUCUAGCACAGUGUUAUCUCUUGCAACUCCUCUUUUCUAUCUAUUGUUUGCUAUACGUUUUUGUUCAAGAGAAAAAUUAGGCACGCUCUGGAGUGUUUGCUUGGUCUGGAAUUUCCCCCCUGUGCCAAGCUGUUUAAUUUAUGAUGCCCUUCCAUAAGAAAAAGCAUCUUGGAGACACUGUACACACCGUAGCAGAAUAUCUAAUUUAUUUAUCCUCCAACCAAGGCCCUAGGUCAGCCUUCCCUAACCUGGUGCUGUCUGGAUGUAGCUGAAUUUCAGCACCCACCCCCAGUGCUAGCCAUUAGGGAUGACAUUGUUGUUGUUGUUGUUGUUGUUGUUGUUGUUGUUGUUGUUGUUAAUCUCCUUCCACAUAUAUGCCCAAGAUGAUUUACAGACAUACCCUGAAAAAAAGAUGAAAUAAUGUUUAGAACUGUAUAAAAAACAAUGGAAUAUGGGUUUUAAAACAACAUAAAACAAACACCUAAGGCAGAGAGACCUUUUCAUCUAGCUGGAAAAGUUUGUCAAAACAAAAACGACUUCAGUUGUUUCCAGAAACUACAGGUCGUGAAUAGACAGUACAGCAAUGUCCAAAGGCAACCAGGAUGGGGAAAGCUGUGCAUGCAUUAUUUAAUUGUUGCAGUCACUCGACUCGUUGAUUAAGGUUGGAUAUGUGGAUUCCUACACCAGUGUUAACUAGGGCUGUUACCUGUGAAAUGGCUUUGGGCGCCGAGACAAAUGUUCUGAACAUGUCUCUGGACGUUUCUUCAUCCAGGCAGUGGCUGGGAUACAAAGAGCUCCUUCAGGCAUGUGCAUGCCCAGUGGGAUUUCCCCUUUGAAUGGCAGUCUGCUGUGCCACAUCACAAAUGCUUUUUAAACUCCCUUCAGUUUUCCUCACGCAGCAUGGAGGGCUAAUGGUAAAAAAAACAACCCACAUUUUUUUUUCUAAAAGGAAAAGGAAAGGUACAGUUGUAUCAACCCACAUGUACAACUUACAAAAUAAAGCAGCUGACAAAACAAAUAAAAUAAAACAUUGGGUUGUAUCCAAGGUGCUUUUCGACCCAUUGAAAAGCUGCUUUGGAUUUAGUGGAGAAAUCUAGGAAGUCCCUCUGUUUGUGCAAGCUCUUGUGUAAGACAUUGCGCUUUUGAAUGGGCAACCAGUAUGAAAACGAGAAACACAAAGAAAAAUCUUAGCUCUAGCCUCUUUUUCCCCAUGCUGCGCAUACAUUUAAAAUUUUAUUUAUUUUCAUUUUUAUACUUCCCUUCAUCCUUCGAACUCAGGAUGGUUCACAUCAUAAAAAUACAAUAUAAAAACAUAAAAUACAUAAUAAAAAUAAGAACCAAACCAAUAAUCCCCCCCUCCCACAACACACCUAUCAUGUCACUUCUUACUUGCCCCAAAUCUCCUUGCGAUUCAGUGUACAUGCAAAACUGACCGUCCCCAAUAUCUAUUACUCUCCUAAAAUUGUAACUCACCAUGCAGUCUUAUUCAUGUCUGCUCAGAGGUAAGUCCUAUUAGUUAACAUCUUACUUAGUUCUGUGUGGCUUACUUCCAUAUAAGUGGGUACAGGAUUACAGUCUUUGUUUCCUAGCUGGAAGAAAUUUGCCCUGAUCUAUAUGUGGAUGUCCAGAUAUUAUGGAAUAACAGAAUCAUAGAAUUGUAGAGUUGGAAGGGACCCCCGAGGACCAUCGAGUCCAACCACCUUUUAACCACAAUGAUGCUAAUAUUUUACAACCUGUUUUCAGUGAUAUUGGACAACAGCUGGCUUGCCUUUGUUGAUUACAGUUACUGCCUGAGUCUUGAGAUCGUUGUAUGGGGGAAAUGCUUCAUUUUUUGUCAUAUACAGUCUUCAAAGUUUUUGUUUUUGUUUUAGAAUUUUUGCACUAUCAUUGUAGAGUUGCAUCCAAAGGUCCCAUUCCUUCCACCAGAAAAAGGAAACCUAUGGAUGCACCCCUGAGUGCUUCUAGCACAGGUGUUGCUUGAAAUUUUUAAAAAAUGUGGAGCUAUUCUAGAAACCUGAACUUGUGAUUACUUUGUUUCCUCACAACUUUCACUUCUCUUUGUUUUGCUGGUUUCUGUGUUCAGAAUAGGUUUGUUUAGAUGGUUUUGGUUGGAUGUAGAAGCAGGCAAUCCUUCAGGCGUUCUGAAACCAAGCCAUAUGCAUGGUUUUUCAGCAGUAGCACUUUGAGUUGUACCAGGAAAUGUAUUGGAAGCCAUGGAGGAGCGCCAUAUGUUUCCAUUACACAGCCCCAGUUAGCAGUCUAGCUGCAAUCUAACAUACCAUUCAUUGCAAUCAUCUAACCUGGAGAUGAAAUAGUUCUGUAGAAACCAGGCCUUCCUUUGCAGUUGGUUGCCCAGCUAUAAUAGCAUGCAUUUAAGUCGUGGACUGGUGCUAAUCCAAGUAUUACAGCUCAAAGUUUCCACAGUAGGUCUGAGCAAGCUAGGAACACAAUGACUUCCUGAUCCACAGGGUAUCCCUUAUAUAUGUUCUACACAUGUUCUACAUAUGUUCUACAUAUAAAAAGUCCUAAGUUCAAUCUUUGACUUCUCCAAGUGAGGCUGGGAAGACUCCUGUUUGAAACCAUGGAGUGUGGUUGAUAGACAUUAUAGGCAAUACUGAAUUAGAUAAACCUAUGGUUUAAUUUGGUACAAGCUGUCUUCCUAUGUUGUAGAAUCACAAAAUAUAUUGGAUAAUUACAAUGGGUGUAAAAAAGAGAAGUCAAUAAUUUACAGCUCUCCACAGGCAUCUAAUUGCUCUGGGGAAAAGGGAAGCACAAGACUACAUUUUUUUUUAGCUUCAGUACAGUGGACAAUUCACUAAGUGAUAAAUUACAAUGCUGGACAGUUUAAUCUAUGGAAUACUGGUCAUCUGUACAUUUGCCCUCAUGGUGGUGUGGAGAAUCCUGUUAUACCACUUAGAACUGACCAGAAAUUGGGGGAUGCCAGGAAAUUCUAAGGUUUCCUUUACCAUGUAGGCAGAAAUUAUAGGCGAGCAUCUCAUCGUGUGGUUUUCGGGUAAAUGGUUCUCUGUCAAAUGGGAGAAAGGGUAGAGAACUACCUGAGUGCAUGUAAAAGGAAACAAAAAUGUGCACUUAUUCAUCUUUGAGUUGGUGAACCUGCUCCAGAAAGUACCAUUUUUCUAUAUGGCAAGUUUCACGACCUGCUUUAAGCAUUUCUCAGCUUUUCUAAAAAGCAUUUUGCAGUGUAGGAUAGGUGCAGAAAGGAAGAUUGACUUCAGGGGAAAAAGAAAACAAAAAAGUCCCAUUGUGCACUUUUCCCUAUGCCCCUCUCUGGAUUGGAGCACAGUGAUUUUGAAAUGAACGCCAGUAUUAGUCAGGGACUGUCUCCCCCUCCCAUUUUUUAAAGAAAGCUCUUUAUGUAAUCUAGCCUUACUGAUUGAUUAAUAGUGUUCCCUGGGGUGAAGUCUUCAAUAGGCUCUGUUUGAAAAAGAAUUGUUAAAAGCUGAAGAGCCACAUUAUAUACUUUAUAGGUCAAAAACAGCACCUCAAAUUGUUCUCGAAAGACAAUAGGAAAAUAGUGCAGAAGCUUUUGUGGGUAACAAGCCUCCGGUAACCAGGCUCCGCUAGGAGGUAGACCACAGGAUUCUGCCUCAAUUGGCAAUAUUCAUCUCUUAUUGAGAGCAAUCAUGGAAGAUGUGUGAUGAUCAAUUUUACAUGUACCAUUUACAGUGCUUUCAAGCCUCACUCUCAUGCUGCUGUGCAAGUUUAAAUGUGCUUAUACAGUGGUACCCCAGGUUACGUACGCUUCAGGUUACAUACGCUUCAGGUUACAGACUCUGCUAACCCAGAAAUAGUGCUUCAGGUUAAGAACUUUGCUUCAGGAUGAGUAUAGAAAUUGUGCUCUGGCAGUGCGGCAGCAGCAGGAGGCCCCAUUAGCUAAAGUGGUGCUUCAGGUUAAGAACAGUUUCAGGUUAAGAAUGGACCACCGGAACGAAUUAAGUACUUAACCCGAGGUACCACUGUAUCAGCUUUCUAAAAUUGUUGAUGGUGAUACAGAAAGGAAUAAUUAGAAUGGUAUUUUAUUCUUCCUGCGUGUUUUGGGUCACCUGUGAGCAAAUGACAUUACCUGAAGUGCAUUUUUAGUCCACCAUUUGUGUGACCCAUUGGGAAUGGCUUCUCUAGACAUUUUACCUCUCAUUUCUGGAGGAAAGUGGCUCAUUGGUCACACUGACCUAGGCCCAGAUUAACAUUCCUUGAGUCAUACCCAUUUCGAUGAUGGACUCUUUGUCAUAGCCAUUUCCUGCACCUCCCUGCUCUCUGUUAAGAAAAAGGCAAGGUAAACAUGAAAUGCUUCCCUCUCCUUAUUGACAUCUGCUGGUGUGUGUGCGUUUGGGUGGGAGGGGAGAACUUAUCAAUUUUGCCAGCAGUGUGCUCUUUUCCUUUCCUUCAAAGCAGAUAUAUAUUUUUAAUCAGUGCUGGUUCACAUAAACCAUGCCUUUUGAAACUGACAUGGUUUUCUCUACCUUUAAUUUCAACAUAUGUUAGAAAGGGCCAGUGGUAGAAUUGACAGUGUAUCAGAUUCACUGGAAACCAAGUGGUUAGAUGUUGAAGGAAGUGGUGAUGGGAGGGUGGGGAAGUCAUGCAAAAGGAGGGGGUAAUACCUUGUCAGACUGUCACCAACCAUGCCAUGAAGGUAGUUGUGGGCCAGUAUGGGUCUGCAUUUGAGGUAGACAAGUGAGAAAGUAACAGGAACUGGCAAAGAUUCCCAGGUGAUCUUCAAACAAAAAAUCUUCAAGAAAAGGUGCCAUAGUGAUCUUGAGUAUGCAUUCUAAGAGACUGGAUCAGCUUCUCAGAUCAAUUCACUGUUUAUUCCAGCAUUGUGAAUGUUAUAUGAGGGAAAAAAUAAGAAGCAUACUAAAUGCUCUUUAUGUAAAGAAUUAUUAUGAAGACAUGAAUUGCUACAGCUUUGACCAUUUCCUUUUUAUAUCAUUAUUUCCGCAUAUUAGCCCUGUCUUGAACCACCAUUGACCUUGACCUUGAUGCCCCAAACAGCAAUAAUCUGUGCAAUCCUAUGUAUAUUUAUCUACUUAGAAGUCCCACUGUGUUUGAUGAGACUUGCUACCUAGUAAGUGUGAAUACGAUUGCAGUCCAAAAUUAUUUCAAGAUGCAAGAACUACACUCUCUGUCAAACAUGCCCGAUGAUAAUGUCAGUUGAAAUCAUCCAUUUCCAGAUGGUGGUAUUCUGAGAUCUAAGAAAUUCAAUGAGCAUAUUAAGUUUUCCAUGUAACUUAUGAGGAUUAAUUCCAAAUUAAAAAUAAAUAUAAGCAAGCUGUGGGCCAGUCUCUUUGCAUAAACAUUUGAAAUGACCACAGCAAACUCAGAUGGCCCCAAUAUUUCCAGUCUGUAGGCACUGGUCAAGUUAAGCUUCUCUAAGAUACUUUAGCUGUUGCAAACAAAUAAACAACAACAACAAAAAGGAAAUAAAUUGAAAAUCUGCUCCGAAAGGAAUGGUAAAGUAAGGCAUCUGUUUAGACCUCUUUGAAACUCCCAGUCAAUACCAGAGUCUUUUCCUACGAAAGUCUGAAUUUGUUUGUAUUUCAUAUAAAUCAGUUGACCUGGUCUCAGCAGCACUGCCUUUCAAAUUGUUAUAUUCAUUUCAUUCCGAGCUUAUUUCUUCCACAAUUGGUCUCUGAGGUUUUAUUUGCUGGUUCAUUUCUUUCAGCCUGCAGCAAGCUUUGCUCUCUUCACCCACCCUCUGCUUCACGCAGCUCUUCUGGGUCUUCUGGUCUACAAAAGGUCAGGUUGUAGUGGUUUGUUUUUAGAUUUGGGCAUUGGACUGUUUCCUACUCGUGCCAUGCAAACCCAAGCCAUUCAUUUCAGGAAGAAUGCAACACCCUGUAGAAAGGAAAACCUACACAGAAAUUAUUGGAAUGCCUUGAACAACACUCUUUAAUAGAACUGUCCUUGCCUCAUAUAAUGUACCUGCUUCGCAUUCAGAAAUGUUCAUUGGCAAAUAUAGCAAUAAUGGACAUGACCAAACAUUCCACAGCUUUUUCUUCCUCUCCAAUGGCAUAUUAAUCUUCUCCUUGUUUUCCAAUAUGAUAUGCAUUCAUUAUACACCAGAGAAAAUGAGUUCAAUUUAGCUAAGGCUGCAAGGAUUGCUCAACUAUAUCAAUUAAAUGGUGCAAUUAACUGAAUAAUUUGUAUAUCAGACAUUUGUUAAGUGCAUUCAAAGUCUAUUCCUGGGCUUGUAACAGCAAUGUGCAGUUAUUCACGGCAUUCUUAAACAAAGGAAUGUGUUGAUUAGUUAGAGAAGAUGCUCCUCUUUCAGUUGUUAAUACUGGGCCUUAUUUCAGUCGCCAGCUCAUACUCUGGAGAGUGCAACACAGUUUAACACUGCCGAAAGGUGGUGAGACCUCUUGGCUUCUCCUGCUCUAUCUACUCCAUCUCUUUCCUCAGCCUCUUCACAUGCAAAACAAAAAUCCUGAUAAGAUAUGAGGAAAAGAACUGAAUAGGAGAAACUUGGAUUGUUUUUGCACCUCUUAAAGGGUUAGUGUAGCAAAUUUAGCCUUAUUGCUUCUAUAGGCGUGAUUGCUCUGUGACCAUUGCAAGCUGCAUUGCACCCAAGAUGCAGCGCAAAGCUCCCUGAUGCAUCACCAGAAUUCUGCCGAAAUGUUGAUGUUUUAACAGUUAUAUUCAAAGGAUUAUGCAUAAAGGGGGCUUUUAGUCUCCCCGUUUUGGUGGCAGUCCCCACAAAGACCUCUAAAGUUUAGGAGGCACAUGCAUAAAAAUGCAUGUAUUGGUGAUAACAACAUUGAAGAUUGCAUGAUCAUAGUAGGGGGAAUUGCUUGCAGAAAUGUGUAUAUGGGGCAAUCCUAUCCAAGAGUUUACCUCACCUCCCUGCACCAGAAGUGGGGUAAUAGUUAAAUAUUGGCUCCUGCCUUUAUGUCCGCCCCCCCCACAAUUGAAUUUUGUCAGUGCGGGAGGUGUGCCAGGGAGGAGGGAUUGAACCCAUCUUCCCUCAUGCAAUUUGGUUGUGUAUGACUCUGUUGCUGUGGAUCUCUAUUGAUCUUACAUACAAAGCUCAAAGGCUGUGUCCCAUUGAAUCCCUUCACAAAGGGAAUGAACAUAAGAAACAGUAUUGGUAAAACAUAAUGAAAUGAAACUAGAAAGAUAAAGCCAAAUUCAUGUUCCAGACUCAUGCUGUUUUCAUCUUUGUAGGUCAACUGUGCUGCAAAAAUCAAAAUUUAUACACAGUUGUGUAGGGCGAGGAGAUACAGGGGGGGAAAAGCUUGGUGAAUGAAGUUAAAGGAAAAUGGAUAGUAAAUGGAUCUAUAUUGUGAAACAAAAAGUACCACCUGGGUCAAGCUGUUGUUUCAUCUACAGCAGCUUGACCCAAAAAACAGUUCUUACCCAGGUUCUGGGAAAGCUUGGAUGUGUGAGUGUUUAAUAUGUGUAUGAAAAAUAAUAAUGAAUGAUGAAACAGAGUUUUACUGUGUUUGACUGUAAACUCCUAGGACCUAGAACAUAAAUGUUUGCAAUACAGUUUGUUUGCCUUUAACACACACACACAGACACACACACAGAGAGAGAGAGGGAUGCAGAUGACAUUUAGGGUGGUAGAAAAGACAAAAACAAAGCUUGAACAAACUGUCAGGUUCAUUGACCUUAUCUACCUUACAGUACUAAAAACCUAAAUAAAUACACAGAGACCUGGGCAGGUCAUGGCAAGAGAACUGACUUGCCUCGCUUACCUUGGUCUGUUUGAAAACUGGCUCAGUGAAUCUUCAGGAAACAAGGCAAAGCCUGCAAAGAGCGUUUCUUAAGCUGGGUUUGUAGACAGUGGUGAAUUCUUAGCACUCAUGAAACCACCAGAACACAAGAACUUUGAUGUCCAUUGGAGGGACAUCAAAGGCGUUCUAAAGCAGAUAUUGCCACUGGUAGCCAUAGGAACUAAGGCUGCAGCUAAAAGUGGCUUUUCAGAUUUGCAAUCCAAAUAUACGUGCAUUAUUGAAUCAAAAUGGACAACUCCAUAACUUUCGUUGUCAAAAUUGGCUGGAACAUUUAUCUAGUUUUCUCAGAGCCUGGCGGCCUCAUAGCUCCCUUAUGCCCAAGAUACCUGGAGCCUGGAUUUGUAAACAGGACUCGGGGACUGUGUAGCUCACUUGGCCUGAUUCCUCUGGAAUUGCAGUAGAUUUUGUUGAGCACCUAUGCAAAUCCCACAGCAUGUUCUGCAUCUGCAGACAACCAAACCCUACCACCAGAUUUGGAAGGGCAUUCAGUGUCAUUUUGAUUCAGCAUGUGACCGGUCAUGUGUUCCUCUUAGUUGCAUGCAUGGGCUCACAAGCAUUCUGAUGCUUUUCACUGCAAUUCAUGUACCGCAUCCUCAUCUUUGACUGUUCAAAGUGGCAUCACACUUUCAGUUCUAUACAAACUUGAUUUAGAGUAAGCUCCAUUGACUUCAGUAGGGUUUAGUUUUGAGUAAUGAGCAUAGCUUUGGUUUGCCCUACCUUCUGGAUCCUGAAAUAGCCUUAAAGAUUUCCCAGCUUCUUUCUUUUUCAAGCCCAGAGAUGAUCCGAUUCAUUAGAAUAACCAGAGAAGAAGUUUUCAAGGAAGGAGAGAGGAAGCGAAUUUUGAGGCAAAAAUAACAUAAUAUCUCAAAUUUUUACUGCUCUGCAUUGAAAUAAUACAUGAGACAACAUGCUGGUUAAAGCCAGAGCUUUAUAGAUAAAGGUCACAUGUUGAACGUUUGCAUAAAUUUGCCGCGCAGAUUGCUUUGACAUGUCACAUUCUGUAAACGCAGGCUCUCCUGUGGUGCUUUAGAGCAGCAGAUACACAUGAUCAACCUGUACAGCCAUAGAGCAUCAUUUGCCUCUUGUGAGAUGGUUCACUUAAAAGCACAAUGCAUUUCCAUUGAACUGAGAGUAGAGGAUUUUUCUUCCUUUUACUUAUUGGCCUUUCUAAGGCAGAACUGCUUUGCCUAGCCAAAGAUACUAUUUUCUUCAUAUGCGGUUCAAGGGUAUGCACAUGGGCUUUCAACAGUGUCAGACUCCAGUGCCCUUGCUCUCCCUCUGCUUAUUCAGCACCCAUUUCCCUAACAUUUUGAGAGCUUGUAGGAGAUGAUGUGAGUGAGAUUACUUGGAACACACAAGAUGCACCAACCAGACCAACCAAAUAUGGUAUAGAAAUUUGUUGUUUUAUCCUUCUUUCAUUCCAAGGAGCUGAAAGCAUCAUUUUAGCCAUCGCAGCCUUAUGGCACAUUUGGCCAAAUACUGUGAUUUGUCGAGAGCUUCCUCAGUGUGCAUGAAGGACAACCACACGUCCCUUUUGCCCUGCUCUUUCCAUUCACAGGUUUGCACUUUAAAGCUCUGUGUCUGAACCCCCGCCCCCUUUCCCCUGUGAAAACUCGCUCUUUAAAGCUGAAUUGGAGCAAAUGACUAUUUGGGUUUUUAAUGGAUUACCAUUUGGUCCGAUUCAGCUUUAAAGAGUGACGUAUCGUGGAGCAAAAAAAGGGAGGGGGCUGAGAUACAGAGCUUUAAAGUGUGGGUCAUGCCUGGAAAGCGCUGAGAAAAGGUGUGGCUAAGCCCUCAGUCCUGUGAAUGUUAUCUCAUAGAACUCAAUAAGACAUACUUCUGAGGUGAUAUGAAUAGGACUGAGAAGUUAUUCUCUUUCUACACAUGCACAUAGAAAAUACCCAUUUUGUUUAGUAGCAAGGGUUGGGAGGGGAUUAAUGACAAGUGGAUGGUGAAGAGCUGGAUUCAACUAUAGAUUAUCUUAAAGGCAUCAUUGCAUCCAGUGGCUGUGGGUUCAGUUUUUUAAAGCUAGUAUUUUCAUGGGGGGAGUGGGAAUCCCCCACUGGUGCCAAUGGGUAAUUUCCUUCGAAAUUAAGAAAAGCACCAGCUUCUGAAAAUGAAUUUUCCUAGGACCGCAGUGGAGGAGAAAAAAGUUAACUGCUCCUCUCUGUAUCUCUUAUGAUUCCAUUAACUGACAUUCACCCCUCAGCUGAUGUGAUUUGUAUUUUUAUAAAAUAGAAAAUCUGCACACUAGAUGAUGCAAAGGGACACUUAAUAUGUAGCUUGGUCCUCAGCUGCAUAGUGUCUUCCGCCUCUAGUUAAGGAUUGGCACUGUAACUGUAUUUGUAGAGGGGGGUGUGUGUGUGUGUGUGUGUGUGUGUGUUUAAAUUAAUAAAAUCAUUUCUGGGUUAGGGAUCAAUUCCAGAGAAAGAAAGGUGUUUGUGGGAGAUGGCAGUGUGAGAGCCUAAUUGAACAAGACUGAAGUUCCAGGGAUUUGUAAGUGGAACAGGUGAAAAUGGCAGUCGUGAUAAUUUAAUACUAAUUACUUCCAUCCUAGCAACUGUCUGCCAGGUGCUCUAAAGAACAAGAAAAGAGAGCUAGGCACGUACAGAUCCCUUGCCCAGCUUUUCCUGACAGGACAGCGGGGGUAUAGGAUCGCUUUAGCAAAACCUUGGGGCCUAUGUUGUGAGUUUUAUUUUUGCUCACUUUGUCCAUCAUUUCAUUUAUUCAUUUAUUUGCUUCCUUGCUUCCUUAGUUACAUUUAUAUCAUGCCUUUCGGUCUAAGACCAUUUGCUGUCACGUUUCAUAAAGCAGAUGAAAAGAAAUUAAAAUUACCUAUGUGAAGCAACACCACAACUGGAUCAACAUACACUAUACUGGGGGAGGGGGGAGAUGACAUCACAGUGGGAGCAUGAAAGCAGAAAUGGAGGCACAAUAAUAAAUAAAUGCUAUGUUAGUUCAUUAGUCCUAUUCUAUAAAAAAGGGGCCACCAAGCAGAGAAAGGUCGGCCCUUGUAGUCCCCGUGAUUACUUUGUGAUAUUAAUGAGAAUUUUGGUUUGAUUUCUGUCAUUCUGUGACUUGUUUUCAUGUUGCCUCAAUGCAAAGCCUUAACACAAAACUCUUGCAGUAGAAGAUCCUCAGGGCAUAAGAGAAGAAAAGAGGCAAUGUAUCUUUGUAUGUAAAUAAUGUACCCUGAAGGAAGUCUCUCAUUAGAAGAGCAUCCAUGGAAACAUGGCAUUGAACAGGAAGUAAAACCCCAGCAGCCAAGUUGAAGAAACUCCUCUUACCUUUGCCACACAUCUUAAGAGGCUUCAGUCAAUAAGCACGGCUGCUUUCCACAAGCUUUGACUCCAGCAAGACGGAGUGCAGAGCAGAUUGUAGCCAUGUCUGCCAAGUAGGUGGCAGAAUAUUGCUAUGGGGAAGGUGACUCAUCCUUGCAUAAGAGUCAGCCCAUGUUCAGCAUUCAGCAGCAGCGCAGUUGGGUGUCAGCUGAUAAAUACUGGGCACAAAGAAGUACAAUAUCACUGCUACAAUGUUCUCUUUAAAGCCCAGCGUAGCAGAGUGACUGGAGCUUUGGGCUUGGAUGUGAGAACCCUCCAUUCAUUUUGCUGUUCAGCUGAAGCACACUGGGGCAGCCCUGGGCAAGCCAUGGUUUCCUGCCCUUCUCUGGUUGUGAUAGCUAAAACGCUGUUUCAGUGCUAAGGAAGGAAGGAAGGAAGGAAAAAACAAACAAGUGUCUCUGAUAUAUAAUCCUCUAUUCCUUCAUCUCCUACAAGUUCUCCAAAAAAUAAGCAGAGGAAGAUCUGUGGCAUGUGGGGUUGGCGCUGUUGGAAGCCCAUGGAUGAGCCCUGGGAUGUCCUAGCUUUGCUGCUCCAUCUCCCCUUUCUUGUUGUUGCCUGGUGAAGUGUUGUUGCUCAGGGAUACAGCAUCUGCUUUGCAUUCAAAGGAUCCCAGUUUCAGUCCCCAACAUUGCCAGGAAGUGCUGGGAGAGAACCCUGGAUUUCAGAAUCCAGUAACAGAAUUUUUAGAUCAGAAUUCAGAAUUGAUAUACCUGUAUUGUUGUUGUUGUUGUUGUUGUUAAUUUAAAAAAAACCAAAGCCUGAAUACCAGGAAUUCAAAGUAGCGCUUCUGUGAUCACUCUAUCAGUACAAGCACUUUUUGCCCUCCAUGUUCUGUUCUGGGGGUGCGACUAACCCCUGCAACCUAAUUGGGAUGUGUGCAGGGGUUGUAUGGGGCAAGGAGAGGGAAGGGGAAAGCCCUAUAGCACAAGUCCUUGCAUGGGCCCCAUUAGAGGAAUCCACCCCCAUUUUGGGCAUUUUGGGGGCAUUUUGAUGACAAAGCUUGGAGCAGCCUCACUGAUUCUGUGCUGCCAAGGACAAUGAAAGAGCUAAAGAUUAUAGCAUGACAAUUAGACCUUCUCGAUCUAUUUCCAGGCCCAUGCAAAAAAACAAAACGAAAAACCAAAUCCAAUGGUGUGUCCAACUUCGCAUAUCAGAUCAUGUAAACAAAACUAUCAUGGAUCUGCAGUCAGUGCCCCAAUCCUUUCUAUAAUGCAAAAAGCUCUGUGCCAUACACACUGACUGGCCAGUGUUCUCCAGGGUUUGAGGCAAAAGUCUCUCCUAGCCCUAACUGGAGAUAUUGGGGUUGGGCCUAGGACCUUCCGCAUGCAAAGCCGAUGCUAUGGCCCUUCUCCUAGUUCAAAGAUGCCCUACAAGGAAUUGAUUUGGCUCAACACAGUUCAGGUCAUGUGAUCUGUUCCAGGGAUAAUUGAACCCGUGUUGUUUACUAUCUCAUCACAAUGGAAACCUGACAAAUUGUGCUUUUGUUUAUUUUCUCCACGCUCCCCAGGCGAUGUGCAGGGCAGCCUUCCCGAACUUGGCACCUUCCAGAUGUCUUAGACUACAGCUCCCAUCAUCCCUGACCAUUGGUCUAGCUGGCUGGGACUGAUGGGAGUUGGUUCUCAACAAGAUUUGGAGGGCACCAGAUUUGGGAAGGCUGAGGAUGUAUUAUUCUAUCACAGUUCUGGCAUGGACUGAAAUGUCCUAAGCGCUGAACUGUGAAAGGGAAGAAAAACUGUUAGCCUCUAGGACAAAAUGGCAAUAUUUAAAUGCAUCUCUGGUGCAUUGCCUGUGAACAAACAUGAAACCUUAAAUAGCAUACUUAAGAAAGGUUUCAUCUUUGUUUUUCAAGAGAAUGGCCAUAGGAGCUCCUGCUGCAAUGAUUCUAUGAGCCAACUGGAUCAGUUAAGCACGCUCCCCACCGCCAUCAAUUCUGGUUUUGUCGCUUUGUAGGGAUAUAAAAGAGGAACUGAGAGCAAAAGUACCAGUUGUGCUUUUCCAAGCAGAGCCACGAUGAAAGUGGUUUAACGGGGUUCAGGCGGAGAGGGUGUGGCAGCUUGCCAGUGUUUAAGCCAAAGCAAACUGCUGUCAGCAUGGAAAUGGCUGAAGAGGCUGACCUCAUGCCUCCCAGGAUUAAGCUGAAAUCUUGCUGGCGCCAUGGUGGGAAUAUUGAAAGGAGCUGUAAUCCUGCCAGUUUGAUUGAGCCAAACUGGCCGGGCCCAUGUGCACAAUCAGCAGCUGAAUGGGAUCUCUCCCCCUGCAUGCCCCAAUAUUAACAAAUGAGUAGAAGCUGCUUAGGGCUGUAAGAAAAAAGGAUGCAGGCAGCCAGGGAAGCGGGGGGUGGGGGUGGGGGGAAGCCAAAUUGCCCGCUACCUGGAAGAGCGCAAUUGUGUGAAGGCUGCUGUUAUGAAAUUGCUGCACCAGAAUAAUAGGCGAAUUGUUCCAAUGCCUUCCACUUCUCCUGUGGAUUAACUGACUUUACAUUAUUUCCCAGUGAUACACGCUGUAUUAUUUAUUGCCAUAAUCAGUAAGAUCCCAAUGCCAUAAAUAACUCGGAUCCGAUGAUGUGACUUUGCUUUAUGGACCCACAUUAAUGGUUUAAAUUAGAUUUCAUAGGAAGCAGCUAUUGCUUUGUGUCUUCCACGAAGAUGCUCAGAUUUCCUUGCAUCUCAACUCCAGCCCUCUGUCUGUGAAAUGUUUUUUUUUUAUAGAGAAAGGAGCAGAAAUCCUAAAAAAUAUUGAGUUGUGUGAGUACAAUCAACCAAGGGAAGUGUAUUACAAGAGGGAGGAUCACAGACCAUUUAUGUUAUGGAGAGCCACUUCCCUCCAAGGAUACAAAUGGGUGACCUUUACUUGCAGCGUUAAAUGCCCAGGGGUCAUUUGUGCAAGACACAGGGAGCUUUAACUGGAACAGGCCAAUCUCAUAAUGGCUGUGUCAGCCGCAGCAGUGCAAGAACAGGCUUGUGCUGCAGCAGUUAAAAUAGCAUUUUAUGUGAUGUUAAUGGUGCAGAGUCACACAGAUAUGCCCUGCUUGCCAAAUACAUCACCCCCCAAAGACAUCUUGGCACCACAUGUUGCUGGCACAAAGGGUUAUAGCUAGGGAUGGAUGUGGGAGAGGGCUUUCUUCCCCAGGGAAACUCCAGACCCAUUCCUUGAAUUUUCAGCUCUCAGUGAUCUGGGUCCUCUGAAGAUCCAUUUAUUUGAGCAGACCUUUAGAGGAUAUCAAUGGUUGACCUGGUUGUGGUAUUGCUGUUAUUGCUUCUGCUGGUUUCUUCUUGUUGUUCUGUUCUUCUGUUUUGAUUUGUGGCUGAUAUUGUCAUUCCCGUUGUGUUUUAUUAUACCCUGCCCUGGGAUCACUACUGCGAUGAAGCGGGUGGGGAAUAGCCAUGUCUUUUCAAUAAGCCGGUCAGUCGGUAAUAGUGGGAAAGGAAUUCUGAGGGUUCCAACAGUGCCUGAAAAUGAAAGGCACCGAGGCUCAGAUUAAGUCGGCAGCCAUGCUUUGCUGCUCUUCUCAUCCCAGCCACUGUAGGCUCUAAAGGGGGGGGGGGGGGAAUUGGGUCCUAGUGCUGGAAUAAAGCUGAGGAUUUAUUCCCUUGAAUCAUUCCUAGAAAUUGUGGACCUUGAUGCCAGUGCUACUACAUGUUAGAGAAGAAAAUCAGAGACAGAGCUAUACGGGCAAUACCCAGCUUGGGCCACCACAUCAUAAUAUAAUGAUGAUGAUGACAAGAAUGAUAUUUAUAUGCCACCCGUCGGACUGGGGUGUCCAAGCCACCCUGGGCGGUUUCCAAAGAUUAAAACACAGUAAGACACCAAACAUUAAAAACUUCCCUAUACAACGCUGCCUUCAGAUAUCUUAUAAAAGUCAGAUGGCUGUUUAUUUCCUUGACAUCUGGUGGGAGGGCGUUCCGCAGGGUGGGCACAACUGCUGAGAAGGCCCUCUGCCUCACUUCUUGCAGUGAGAGAACCACCAGAAGGCCCUUAGCGGUGGCCCUCAGUGUCUGGGCUGAAUGAUGGAGGUGGAGAUGCUCCUUCAGGAAUGCAGGGUUCAAAGCUGUUUAAUUAAUCAACCUGGCCCAAGCAAAAAGACAAAUCACAAGGGGGCAGAAAGGUGCCUACCAUGAUAUCCUAGGGGAUGAAACUUUCCCUCAUGAUAUUGCAUAAGUCUAGUUAAAAUUUCAGAAGGCACCUGUCCUCAAAUUCGUCUACGGUGUGAGUGGAAGGCAAUUUUGUAUUCUUUUGUGAAGCUGUAAAGUAUGUACACCUUCUGGUUCUCUCACAGUAUGUGUCAGUCUCUGAAAAUAUAUAAAGCAAAAAUGAAAAAAGCAACAUGCCUUGAAAAGGUGAUGCAGGCAUCAUGAAUGACUUCAGCCCUGCGGCAUUUAAAAAGGUAUAAUGAUCCGUAGAUACUGCAAACUAUCAUUUUAUGCCUAUUGUGAUGAUAGUAGGGUUUCUAGUCUACACCAGUAUUACAAAGAGCUUCUGCCAUUACGCUGUCUCAGGAAACCCAGUUGUCUAAUAAAGACAAAAAAAGCAUCUUUCUGUCUCUCUCUCUCCCCGCCUCUGUUCCACAAGUUCAGAAGGCAAUGUCAGUAAAAGUUCUGGAACUACGGGGUGGGGAAUUCUUGCUGCCUGGGAUUGGGAAUGGAGGAGAAAUUGGUUUGGUCUGGAUUUUGAUACAAACCAACUAAAUUUUCCAGUCCUGGACAUAUUCUGUGGGUUGAAUGCAGCUUUUUGAUCAGAUUGCAUACUUCUCUGAUUUUUGCAGUGCAGUUUUUGUUCGAAAUGCAAACAGAAAUGCUCACUUCAUUGAAAAUAUGGAUUCAAAAUGCAUAAUUUAAGGGAAAAUGCAUUGAAAAGCACAUAAAAACAUGUACUUUGGGUAAACAAUGGUUGUACUAAAUGUAUACAAUUAAAGUGCAUUAUUUUGAAAAAUCCUCAAAACCUGGAACAUAACAGACUAUGACUGAAUGCACACAAAACUUAACGUGGAAAGGAAUUAAGCUGAUCCAUCACUAAGUUAAGAAUAGACAGUGAAAGCUUAAGAUAACAAUUUAUAAGACUUUCGGGGAGAGAAUCAGUGUAUCGGUACUAACUGCUUGUUUGAAAAUAACUUGAAAAUUUAAACUAGCAAUGGACGAAUCUGUAAAUCGUGGUUUCUCUCCAUUUGUCUUUUUCCCAGUGUUGACUUCACCAUAUUUCUGCAUCAGUUUGUGAUUUUUUUUAAAAAAAGGUCCUCAUGGAAAUAUAUCAGUAUUUUAGUGUGCAUUUGUCCUAAUAGAAGCAUUUCUGCAAAUACAUUUUCAUAUGUCACUUUCACUACUAUAUGCAGUUUCAUGCAAACAUUCCCCAUGUAUAUGCAUUUCUGUACACAGUUUGGGUUGGAGAACUGCUUUACAAAAUUCAGAGAAAUGCAAAUUUUGAAGGCCAUCAUGCAUUGUUUCAGAAAGUGUACAUUAAAAUACAAACUGAACCAAAUUUCACCACCAUCCCUACUCUAAACCCCCAAAAUAAGGACUGCUGUGGGAAACUGAUUCACUAGAGUUGUGGCAAUCUGGAAUAAGGCCCAUAAUGUCCCUUGUGGGUCUAAUAUUCUGGAAUAGAGGGCAAUCCUUUAAAAAAUAAUGGAUGCAUUCUAAAGCAGCACUCCACAACCCUGUACUUAUCUCAGAUAUUCAAGGAAGCCAAAUGUGAAGUUGAGGAAAUAUGCCAGUUAACAAAACCUUCAUUUGUUUUUAGACAAAGAAAAUACCCACAACAUGACCAAACAGGCAAUGCAUGCACCUUUAUCAGAUGAAUAUCACUGCUUAUUAGCCAUGAAGCUCUCUGGUAUCAUUUGAAUGAUCAUACCUUGAAUUAUACUUUUUGCCCCCACAAAAGCUAAGGUUGUUGUUGUUUCUGAUGAGGUAGAAAUUCUUCAAAACCUAUUAUCAGUUUGAGCAAUUUUACAUAUGUAAGGGUGCUGCCUGUUGGGAAUCGAGCCUUUAUCAGGAGAAACUGGCCACUCUCCAGGCACCCGGCUUGAUCUCCUGUUGACCUCCCUGUCUGCAUUCCCCAGCAGGAUACAGGCUAGGUCGCGAUAGGCGAUCCUUCUCAGCGUGAGAAGAACACCCCCCCUCUUUCCUGCCCCCCCGGGCAGGGGAGAGAGAUAGACAGAAACGUAUUUACAUUCCUUUAUUUCUGUCUUUGCAGCGUUACAAAAAUCAUGACUGCUCUCUUCAAGCUCCAGCAGUCGAGAGACAAACUCCUCCUGUACUUCCUGUCCAGCUCAUAUUACACUCUGAGCUAAUUCCGGUGACCUCUGCACUGUGAAUUGACUGUCCCUCUGUUUCCCACGGAACAGUCCCAACAUUCCCAUUAUGUUUUGCUUUCAAGCUACCAGCAGCUCGUGGCUGCAUUGAUUCAAUAUCGUAACACUGCCUGACCACAAAACUAGUAAGAACCAGUUUUGGAGGGGUCUAGCUGACUGCUAGAGUGAAAAACAGCUCCAGAUAAGAUGCAAGGAGGCCAUUGGAUGAGUGUUUUCAAGGACUGUGGUUAGAGGAAGAGAAAGUGAGGUGUUGGGGUGACAAGUGGUGGCAGAAAGAAGUUGGCUAGAACAAGGGUCGGCAACCUAAGGCUCAUGGACCACAAGCAGCCCAUGGGGGUCGUUUAACUGGCCCAUGGACCCCUGCUGCCUGCUCGGUUGGCUCCCGUGCGCCGCACUAAAUCGGCACGGAGCAGAGCAGGGACCGCCUUCCGUGACGCUGGGCGGCUUCCCUUUGGCUGCAGAAAGCUCCUGCAGCCAAUGGGAAGCUGCGCACGCCUCUUCCGCGCUGGAAGGAGCGCCGGAAAUAGUGUGUGCACACUCUGGCCCACCACGGCAUCUGCGGGACCGUGAACCGGCUCAAGCCACAAAAACUUUGCCUACCCCUGGGCUAGAAAAUAGGCGAUGCAUUUUCUCCUCUAUAGAGACUCUCUCGGUACCAGUGUGGCUGGGAAUGGCAUUAGGCCUGUAUCCAGAAACACCUGUGCUACCUCUUAACAAAUUGUAAACAGACAGCGACAGAAUACCUAUGAACUGGGGAAACUGCCUGCAUGGUAAAAAAGCACCUUGAAGCUGUAAGUUCUGAUUCAUAAACAUAACUUUAAUGCACUAAUUUACAUUUUUCUGGUGGCUACAAAGGAACCAAGGACUGCCAGUGAUCAGAAGAGAAACGCUCUGAUUUGCACUCAUCUUCUUGUUUUCUUACCACAUUUGAAAGGAUUCUGAAGCAGGUAAAGGUGAACAUACCUGCAGGAAAUAUGAGAAUAAUUUGCAGAUACAAAAGAAUGAAAAUUCAGUGGAGACCUCAUCCAGUAUUAGGCAUGUGCUUAAAUUUAGGUGUACAUCCUGACGGAAGCCCCCUUUGGUCAAAGUUAAGCGCCCUUAAGGCAUAUUGAUUUCAGUGAGAGAGAUGUAAGCUCAUUUAACUGUUUUGUUGAAAUCAACGGAUGCUUAAUAUGGGCUCUUGUAAGAGGUUCCUUACAAAAUAACUUGCCUGAAGAUAAGGUAAAAUUGCCCAUAAGUAAUUAACUUUAGCUGGAUUGGGAAGUUAAAGUUAUGGCUUACUUCCAGUGACUGCAAUAGAACUUGUUGGUGAAGACGAACGCGUUCCAUUGGUUUCAAUGGGACAUGCAGGGCAAUUGUAGCUGGAGUCAGUAUUUACUCAGAAAACAACCUUUCUGUUGAGUUACCCAUGUAUAUAAAUGAAUAUAGGAUUGCAGCUUUAUUACAACUAACUUUAGCUCUCCAUGUCCCACAUGACAUUUCUUCCCAUUUCCCCCUGCUGAUAUUGCCUGUACCACUUAGCAUGGAAGGGCAUUUUUGGCUGACAUGAUGAUUAUGCUGGCUAGUGGACUGACUUCGACAGGUAGGGUGUCAAGGCCAGAAGCAAAGGCUCUGAGAACAGAUUAAAUCUAAAGUUGAUGAAAUGGUCUGAAGUCACUGCUUGGCCAUUUCCCCAGUAUAUAGAACAUUUGAAACUAGCAGAGAAGCUUCUUUUGGACGUGCCACCCACAUAAGUUUUCCUGGGAAUUUACUUUCUGUCUGUCUCAAUUCCCUCUGCAGUGUCAAUUUAUCAGCUCAGACUCAUUAAGAAUACAUCUGCUCACAGUCUCCUGGGGACUGAUAUGUCUCAGCAUGCAACCUCAUUCGUAGGCCCCUACCAUAAGCUCUUGCAAAAGCAGCAUGCAAUUAUUAGGACUUUAUUCAUUUCAUACUUCACACUGUUUUGCUUCAGAGUGGCUGUGAGCUGUUCAGUGGGAUCUCAUGAGUUGAAGUUCAGUGGGCAGGUGAAGUAAUUCCUUUCAAGGUAAAUGCAGUUAAGGUACCCCAGUAUUCCAACAUCAUCCCUGCAAGUCAUGAUCCAUCUUUAACACACCUAUUAUAGUUCACCUUCUAGAGGACUAUCCAAAGCACAAGACUGUCAUUCUUUAUGAGAAGGAUUUGGUUGAUGCCUGCCUUCUUCUUGAAAUUAUAUGGUUAGACAAUUGCAAUUUGUUAUUUGUGAGGUUACCAGAGGGUAGACGUCUUCAGCUCAAUUUCAUUUAGAAUACAGCUGUUUCUGAUCUUAUGGGGCUGACGCUUUCUCAGCAGGCUCCCCUUCAUUUCCAAAUCUCCCCACAGGCUCUUCGAACAGUUUUGAUGUUAUGGUUUUGUUAAUAAACAAGCAACUUAGAUUUAGUGCUUUUUGUUUCAUGAACUUUUAUUAACUUCCACUUGUUUCUCACUUUGCACUGGCUGUGGAUAACAGCGAUUAUGUUCCCCUCAAUCCCCGGUGGUGCUUUAUAAAAAGCUAUUCAGGUUUCAUGAAACCAAAAACCAAUUCAACUAUAAUGUGUGGGUGUUGUUGUUUUCCCCCCAUGGGGGAAUACAUAUGCCAUAGAGUACAAAAAUUACAUGAAUUUUUGGGCUGCAUAAAAUAGUCACCAGUUCCAAUAUUAAGAGUUGCCAUAGACAGUUUUGGCAAGGUGUAAAUUUUAUCUCAAAAAGAUUUAAUUGAUGUCCUUUUAGUUCACCAGCUGUGCCCACAGAUAAGAGUGGAGGUGGGUGGGGCGCAAGGAGCAACACAGUGUCCCAGACUCAACUAACCUGGUGCACAAGUGGAAGCCAGUUCCCACUAGCACAAUGAGGCUUUCUCCCCUCUCCUUCCUCUGUGUGCCCCUGCAGUUCCUCCAAGUCCAUUCUGGAGGGUCACAAGAAUCCUCAGAACAGUGUGCAGGGGAGGAGAUGGGGAUUGUUCUGUCUGACAAGAAAAAAAGCUUGUGCUGGUGGAAAAAUCAAGAGAGCAUCACAUUGAGUUCCAGUAUGCACUAUGGCUGAAUCCAUGUCUUUCAAGAAAAGCUCUAACUAUCCUUCUGAAAUUUGGCAGGCAUUAUCCACUCAGAAGGGGUUCUGUGCCUGCAAAUUUAACCAAAUUCUGCCAAAAAGUAAAGGAGCCAUAAUAACAGUGAACGAGGAGACAUUAAACUUUCAUUUUCCUGAAGUGAGGCCACUUUCUGAAUGGCCAAAUCAAGGUUUUUCCUGAAUCUAGUGUUCAGUGCACAUCCUUAUUUGGGGCCAUGACUUUGCAAUCAUUUGGUUUUUUGGGGGGGCUAGGGGAAGUACUAUUCUGACAAAGAUGCUGCUAAUGACAAUACUCAUAUUAGUGGCUUAUUGAUAGCUGAAUCUUAUUUAGCCUUGUUUCAGAAAUGCAAGAAUUGGGAACAAUACAGCCAAAAUGUUUUAUUUGGGCAAUACAAAUACAAUCAAAUCAAAAAUAUCACAGAUUUUCAUACAUUAGUAAGAAGUUACUGUACACUUGAACAGUUGCCAUUUUAUACAGCUAACAAAGCUUUACCUUUAAUAAAAUGUAUUUUCCUCUCACAUAAAAUAUACACUUUUCACUGACGUAUUUUACAUCAUACACCUCUCUGGGAUAAGAAACAUUUCACAAACAAUGCACAACAGAGGCCAUCUUCUCUAAACCCAUACAAAAUAUUACAUUGAAGCGAGAAACACUGUAAUAUCCUACUAUAGGCUGCCGCCCUCAAAGUCAUAUUCUGUUGCUACUUAAAAUACUACAUGCAUCAUAAAAUGCUGUACAUUGAUUGAAGAUUGGACACAUCAGAUUUGCUCAGCACUCUGCAUUGUACUUUAGAAUGUCAAGCUUCUAGCUAGAUCAGUGGCACACUUGCAUCUUUCUUUGUGUCCAAAUAUGUGCAAUUCAGAUAAUGGCCCACAUGUUAAAUACUAUGUUUUGGCAGCACAACACCAAGAGUUGUUAUUUGGUAUCUCGGUGUGCCUUGAAGGCAUGCAGUUCUGUAAAAGUUGAAGGCUGAUUUUUGUUUGCAGACAUUAACCCCAAUUCAGAGAUUGCUCUGUGUAGACAUGUGAGGGGCCCUUGCGCAUGGAGACACCUUUAUGUACACCACAAACCCACAAUGGAGCCCAGUGAUGGAGGGCAGGAAUGGCAGACAUAAGAGACCUGCCCUCUGUACAGAUAGCUCAUUGCUGGAUAGCAUCACAUUUGAGCAAAGGAAGCAUCAUCCAAGGAUGAGGAAGCAGGUGCGCUAGGUCUUAUGCACAUGCUUAAGUGCAUGUACACCCCCAACACUCCUCACAGUAUUAUGAGAAUGCACCUUCUCAUUUGUUUCUUGAUAUGGAUGAAAACACCUGUAUCCACGGUCUGUAAAGCUACAUGCAGAUUUCCAUACUUGGCACGAGCCACAUGCAAAGCCUAAUUGCGCACAAGAAUCUCUGGCUCAGGGCCACAUGUGCCCAUUUUAUUGAAAACUACCUUGUGGUAAUAGAAAAGUUAGUGUUAAUCUUAAAACGUGUCCUUUGCAAAAUGUAUAAAUCUGAACCAGGAGUCAAUGGUUGCAUGCUGCGGGAGGAAAAAUACAGCCUUUAUGGUGCCAUGUUAUAGAUUCUGCAGUAGUCUCAUGGUUUCCCUUCCUAUCCAUAUAAUAGAGAGGAGGGGUGGGUGGGAAAUGUUCUCCCAGAAAACAUUCUAGCCAUGCUGCAACCCAAAGAACAAUAGUAGCAAGCCUCUUUAUACUGCAAGGUUUCUUCUAUGCUUUUGAUAGGAAACUACCAACAGAUUUGGUUUUCCCCCCCAUCAAGUGUCAUCCUAUUUAAAGAGCAGGCGACAGGAGAAAGUCCCUUGAAUCCUGCAUGGUGAUGCUAGGAUCUAGGCAAACCCCAUGUUAAAUUCAAUGGGACUUGAAUUCCAAGUAAGUGUUUAUGAGAACGAAGGCUUAGAUUCAGGACAAUUUGUGAUGGCAGUAGACUUGAUUGACUGUGAGUCUCCUCCAGCCAUGCAUAAUGUGCAUUGGGAGCAGAUUUGAAUAGCAAAAAUAGUAUGCAAGUGAAGAGAGCUAAGCCUCCCUCCUCCCAUAGCUUACCUAGUCCCGAUCUGUUGCCUGAAUACUUUUUCCAUGUUAGUCAGACUCUGAUGCAGUGAGUGAGUCUAGCCGGGACAAAACACCUGGAGAGGUAAUGAAUAGUGGGGAGGUAAAAUGCAAGAAGAGGGUUCAGCUCUCUCCUAUGUGCUCUUUCUGCAUUCUGGUUGGGCCCACAGUUCUCUGUAGGUUAGUUCCAGCAUUAAACCAACAGACUUGCCAGCAUGGUGGAUACUUUGAAUCUUAGAGACUCAAUGAACCUCAGGUCAAACUGCAUCAAUAGAAUCGUCUCUCUCAGAGUUUAUCCUCUUCAGUUAACCAGAAUAAUUCCCCCCCUGCUAAAUAUGAAAGGAGAUUUUCGUCCUAUGCAUUGUAUGAUAGAGUAAGGAAUGAUACGUGGAUAUUAACCAAGAGUUUUGGAAAUCUUUUGCAAUUACACUAAGCACCUGUUUAGUUUUAGGGGAUUAACCCCUCCCAAUUGCACAUAUUAAGAAGUAUCAAUUUAAAUGGACAGCUCAAUAUGCACAGUAGCUUUGUUUCCAUAAGAUGUUUUGCAUUUUGCAUUUCUCUUGUAAAGAACCAGCUUUCUAGAGACUUAAGUCCUUGACAACAAUGAUAUAGCUCUGUUGAUUUUUAAGUCCUUUGUGUUCAGUGAAAACGCAGCAUUGAAAUCACCAUUUAGGAACAUUUUUGUAUUUCUACAGUUUCCCACAAUACUGAACAGAAGUUGCAGAACCACAGAACCUUCUAAACUUGGACUAAUACCAGAGUAGUGAAUAUUUGCCUGUAUAUUUGCCAGAAUAUUUGUUAGAUUGAGGUAACGGUUUCAGCAAGUGUUAACCUACGUUCAAAUAUCAAGACUCCUUUCUGACCUCCUUUCUUAUUUUGCAGAGUUUCUUUCUUAUCUUGCUGUCAAACUGACUUCAUAUAGUAAUAUCCUAGGCAUCCUAAUCCCAUUCACAGGAAGAAAUUCCCCUACUAAGAUUUCUUCAUUUUACCUGAAGUUACAUUUGGAACCCCAGACCGUUGGCAUUCAGAAAAUCUUACUACAUCUAAAUAAGGCAUCUAUUUAUAUUUUCUUUACUAUGCUCCAAAUAAAAGGUUUCCAUUACGUCAAGAGGAUAUAUCAAGAGAAGAAGUAAAAAGGAGAAAUAUGUAUCUCUUGCUUAGAAGCUGACUAGAAUGAAGGUCAAAGAAAAAGGCAGUGCCUAAUGGAUUAGAACACUAAAGACUAAUGUGAACAUUGCCCAUCACUAAACAAAAGUGUCUGUUGUCUGAUGGGAGCAGAAAGGCAUGUAUGAAUAAGGAAUGCCCCAACAUAGAAGAUACAAGAUGCUCUUUUACCUCCUGAUCUCCAGCAUCAGCCAUCAAUGCCAUGGGAUUUCUUUCUAGAAAGAAACUGUUAACUUACUCCAGAUUCAACAUAGUGGCUUUGUUCAACUGUGAAGAAUAUAACUCGUAAACAAUGUGAGUAAAUAAAUGUAGUGUAUGAAAGAGCACUGACCCGGGUGGAUUUUUUAAUUUUUUUUGUGGGUGUCAGUGUUAAUUUGAGUCCAUCAAGUCAAAUUUCAGAAGGAUGUAGAGAACAGUCCUUCCAUGUUGGCAAUUGAUAUUUUAAUUGUUAUCUGAUGCCAUUGGGCCCAUCCUUAUCACAUACAUUUCCCCUGCCUGUGCUGCUUUCACCUGUCAUGGUUGGGAAAUGUCCUUCACAUAUCAUUUGGCUGGUUCUUGACCAGAAGAAACCGUGUGCACGCUUGUGUGUAUUUACAAUUAUUUGUGUCUUUCAAUCAAUGUAGUUUAAUUUUGCCAGAUACAUCAUUUCUAGCCAUCUACCCAGCACUUGUUAUUUAGAAGAAUAUAACUAACUGAAGACACAUUGCUUUGAAAAAGUCCUUUUCUCCCCGCUACCACCACCGCAUCGCAAAAUAUAUUAGGUGCAAUGCAGUACUUAGACUGCUCUUCCUUAUUGUGAAAAUGAAUAAAGAAAGAGAAUCAAUGUUUGCCAUGCACCAUUGGGACACUGAAGUGAAUGGAAACGGAUCGAUUCUCUUCUGAUUCUUACCAAAU